rnacentral:hammerhead_ribozyme from 1 species
CUUGUGCUGACGAGUCCCAAAUAGGACGAAGCGCACGUCCUCUAU